UAUACCCCUCCCUCCCUCCUCUUACAGCUCCCUCACCCCAUCAAGCUGGCUCAAUAAAAAGGGAGGAGAAAUCAUACUUUGACCAAACCCCACUUCGGUUCUCGACUGAGCACAUUCUCCGGUCGACCAUGAUCAAGCGCAUUCUCCUUUUGGUUGUUGUGUAUUCUAUGCUACUGGUGACGGUGGCUAGCGCAAAGAAUGGCCUUGGAGCAAGAUCAGACAUUGCAGCAAGAAAUAAUGGCCUUUGAGCAAGAUCAGACCUUGGAGCAAGAUUUGGCCCACCACGUUGAAAGGGGAAGAAUAUACUUCCCAGAACGAGGUUGAUGAUGGUGAUAAUGGUUGGUGGAAGUCAAUAAAAUCACUGCAAAGCAAAA
rnacentral:lncRNA from 1 species